UGAGUAACACGUAUCCAACCUGCCGUCUACUCUUGGACAGCCUUCUGAAAGGAAGAUUAAUACAAGAUGGCAUCAUGAGUCCGCAUGUUCGCAUGAUUAAAGGUAUUCCGGUAGACGAUGGGGAUGCGUUCCAUUAGAUAGUGGGCGGGGUAACGGCCCACCUAGUCUUCGAUGGAUAGGGGUUCUGAGAGGAAGGUCCCCCACAUUGGAACUGAGACACGGUCCAA
rnacentral:rRNA from 1 species